GGGAAUAGGACCUGGAAUCGGAAUGGAAUGGGUCAUUUCGUGUUUCUGGAUUUGGUCGACCAGAAUGGGAAUGAGUAGGCGGAAUGUGAUUCCCCAUAUGGGGGGAAUGGCCUUUCCCUUCCCCCUCCCCCGGAAUGCAUUCCCAUUCCGCUAUUUAGGUUCCUAAUAUUUUUUGGAUAAAGAUCCCCUCCAAUCUAACCUACGAUUAACUGUUGUUGUGAAAGGGAAGAAUCCCUCCAACCUCCAUACUAGUCAUUGUUGUCGCCACCGUCAACCCCAUAUCCGGUAAGAUCCGCCCCAUCUCCACUUCGGAUCUGCCUUGCUGUGAUUCGUUUUACAGAACAGCAUAUUCUUGUUUGUUUUAAUCCGCUUCCUACUCUGUCAAUGGAGAAUGUAGUUGUGGACUGCAAUUAGUUAGUUGAAAUCAGAAAUGGCUACAUAUGGAAGUUGAUUAAUGAAGCUUGAAGCAGAGGUUUUGUCUUUGAACCCAACUAACAAUGGAGGAAAUUCUUGUGGAUCCUACUAACAAUGCACUAGUUGGACAACAGACAUCAAAGAGAGGGAGGCCAAAGAAGCCUAUUGCUACAGUUGCUACAGUGCCAACUCCAAUCUCGUGGAAGAAAGCCUACAUAGCUCAAGGUUCAAUGCAACUAUUCAGCAAGAAAAUGAUGGAAGGAUUCCAAAGGUUUUCACGAGUGGCAGCAGCAACUUUGAGCUCAACGGGGCAAGUGUGAAGCUUCCUGUAGAAGUUCAAGCAAGAUAGGAUCUUGUACAGAAUCAGGCGCCUGUUGAGUUUUUUAUUCCAUUUGAGUUAUGGCUCUGAUACAGAUUUACGUUAGUUUGCAGUUCAAUAUAUAUGUAUAUAUGGGGGCAAAUUAUUCAAUAUAUAUCUGUUUUUGAGGUUUUUUUAA